AAAUUGAAGAGUUUGAUCAUGGCUCAGAUUGAACGCUGGCGGCAGGCCUAACACAUGCAAGUCGAGCGGUAGCACAGAGAGCUUGCUCUCGGGUGACGAGCGGCGGACGGGUGAGUAAUGUCUGGGAAACUGCCUGAUGGAGGGGGAUAACUACUGGAAACGGUAGCUAAUACCGCAUAAUGUCGCAAGACCAAAGUGGGGGACCUUCGGGCCUCAUGCCAUCAGAUGUGCCCAGAUGGGAUUAGCUAGUAGGUGGGGUAACGGCUCACCUAGGCGACGAUCCCUAGCUGGUCUGAGAGGAUGACCAGCCACACUGGAACUGAGACACGGUCCAGACUCCUACGGGAGGCAGCAGUGGGGAAUAUUGCACAAUGGGCGCAAGCCUGAUGCAGCCAUGCCGCGUGUAUGAAGAAGGCCUUCGGGUUGUAAAGUACUUUCAGCGGGGAGGAAGGCGAUAAGGUUAAUAACCUUGUCGAUUGACGUUACCCGCAGAAGAAGCACCGGCUAACUCCGUGCCAGCAGCCGCGGUAAUACGGAGGGUGCAAGCGUUAAUCGGAAUUACUGGGCGUAAAGCGCACGCAGGCGGUCUGUCAAGUCGGAUGUGAAAUCCCCGGGCUCAACCUGGGAACUGCAUUCGAAACUGGCAGGCUAGAGUCUUGUAGAGGGGGGUAGAAUUCCAGGUGUAGCGGUGAAAUGCGUAGAGAUCUGGAGGAAUACCGGUGGCGAAGGCGGCCCCCUGGACAAAGACUGACGCUCAGGUGCGAAAGCGUGGGGAGCAAACAGGAUUAGAUACCCUGGUAGUCCACGCCGUAAACGAUGUCGAUUUGGAGGUUGUGCCCUUGAGGCGUGGCUUCCGGAGCUAACGCGUUAAAUCGACCGCCUGGGGAGUACGGCCGCAAGGUUAAAACUCAAAUGAAUUGACGGGGGCCCGCACAAGCGGUGGAGCAUGUGGUUUAAUUCGAUGCAACGCGAAGAACCUUACCUGGUCUUGACAUCCACAGAACUUAGCAGAGAUGCUUUGGUGCCUUCGGGAACUGUGAGACAGGUGCUGCAUGGCUGUCGUCAGCUCGUGUUGUGAAAUGUUGGGUUAAGUCCCGCAACGAGCGCAACCCUUAUCCUUUGUUGCCAGCGGUCCGGCCGGGAACUCAAAGGAGACUGCCAGUGAUAAACUGGAGGAAGGUGGGGAUGACGUCAAGUCAUCAUGGCCCUUACGACCAGGGCUACACACGUGCUACAAUGGCAUAUACAAAGAGAAGCGACCUCGCGAGAGCAAGCGGACCUCAUAAAGUAUGUCGUAGUCCGGAUUGGAGUCUGCAACUCGACUCCAUGAAGUCGGAAUCGCUAGUAAUCGUAGAUCAGAAUGCUACGGUGAAUACGUUCCCGGGCCUUGUACACACCGCCCGUCACACCAUGGGAGUGGGUUGCAAAAGAAGUAGGUAGCUUAACCUUCGGGAGGGCGCUUACCACUUUGUGAUUCAUGACUGGGGUGAAGUCGUAACAAGGUAACCGUAGGGGAACCUGCGGUUGGAUCACCUCCUUACCUUAAAGAA
rnacentral:rRNA from 1 species